rnacentral:rRNA from 1 species
AUUGAACGCUGGCGGCAUGCUUUACACAUGCAAGUCGAACGGCAGCAUAGGUGCUUGCACCUGAUGGCGAGUGGCGAACGGGUGAGUAAUAUAUCGGAACAUGUCCGGAAGUGGGGGAUAACGUAGCGAAAGUUACGCUAAUACCGCAUAUGCCCUGAGGGGGAAAGGGGGGGAUCGCAAGACCUCUCGCUUUCGGAGUGGCCGAUAUCGGAUUAGCUAGUAGGUGAGGUAAAGGCUCACCUAGGCGACGAUCCGUAGCUGGUCUGAGAGGACGAACAGCCACACUGGGACUGAGACACAGCCCAGACUCCUACGGGAGGCAGCAGUGGGGUAUUUUGGACAAUGGGCGCAAGCCUGAUCCAGCCAUGCCGCGUGAGUGAAGAAGGCCUUCGGGUUGUAAAGCUCUUUCAGCUGGAAAGAAAUCGUAUCUAUUAAUACUAGGUGCGGAUGACGGUACCAGCAGAAGAAGCACCGGCUAACUACGUGCCAGCAGCCGCAGUAA